UUUCUUAUAUGGCCUGAGCCUGACACACUAUUCUAGCUAGACAUGGGUGUGGCUCGUAACACCUGAUGACCAAACGGAUCUACGGCACCAUCAAAUCUCAAACUUUAACUGCCAAAACUAUUCUUUUUCAUUCUGUAGUCCCUUCUAGAAUUACUAAACGUCCUUUUUUGGGCCGAGAUUUCCAGGAACGCUUUCUCGGGGUUUGUGUGCAUGUAUUUCAAACCAUACAGACCUAAAAAUUAUAAGUCAUUCCAUCUUUAUUCCCGUAGAGCCUUCCAGUAGUUCCUAAACCGCUCCAGUCGGAGCAUGUUAUCAUUCUUGUUAGUUCUAAGUGAAUUCCCUCGGUAUGAUAAUUCUUUCAUCAGUUUGUUCCCCGUUUCUUCUCUAGCCUGAGCCUGGCACACUAGUCUAGCUAGACAUGGGUGUGGCUCGUAACACCCGAUGACUAAAUGGAUCGACGGCACCAUCGAAUCUCAAACUUUAACUGCCAAAACUAUUGUUUUUCAUCCUGUAGUCCCAUUUAGAAUUACUAAACGUCCUUUUUUGGGCCGAGAUUUAGAGGAACGCUUUCUCGUGGUUUGUGUGCAAGAAUUUCAAACCAUACGGACCUAAAAAUUAGAAGUCAUUCCAUCUUUAUUCCCCUAGAGCCUUCCAGUAGUUCCUAAACCGCUCUAGUCGGAGCACGUUAUCAUUCUUGUUAGUUCUGAGAGAAUUCCCUCGGUAUGAUAAUUCUUUUAUCAGUUUGUUCCCCGUUUCUUCUCUAGCCUGAGCCCGACACACUAUUCUAGCUAGACAUGGGUGUGGCUCGUAACACCUGAUGACCAAACGGAUCUACGGCACCAUCGAAUCUCAAACUUUAACUGCCAAAACUAUUGUUUUUCAUCCUGUAGUCCCUUUUAGAAUUACUAAAUGUCCUUUUUUGGGCCGAGAUUUCCAGGAACGCUUUCUCAGGGUUUGUGUGCAAGUAAUUCAAACCAUACGGACCUAAAAAUUAGAAGUCAUUCCAUCUUUAUUCCCCUAGAGCCUUCCAGCAGUUCCUAAACCGCUCAAGUCAGUGCACGUUAUCAUUCUUGUUAGUUCUAAGUGAAUUCCCUCGGUAUGAUAAUUUGUUCAUCAGUUUGUUCCCCGUUUCUUCUCUAGCCUGAGCCUGACACACUAUUCUAGCUAGACAUGGGUGUGGCUCGUAACACCUGAUGACCAAACGGAUCUACGACACCAUCGAAUCUCAAACUUUAACUACCAAAACUAUUGUUUUUCAUCCUCUAGUCCCUUUUAGAAUUACUAAACGUCCUUUUUUGGGCCGAGAUUUCCAGGAACGCUUUCUCGGGGUUUGUGUGCAUGUAUUUCAAACCAUACAGACCUAAAAAUUAGAAGUCAUUCCAUCUUUAUUCCCGUAGAGCCUUCCAGCAGUUCCUAAACCGCUCCAGUCGGAGCAUGUUAUCAUUCUUGUUUGUUCUGAGUGAAUUCCCUCGGUAUGAUAAUUCUAUCAUCAGUUUGUUCCCCGUUUCUUCUCUAGCCUGAGCCUGGCAAACUAUUCUAGCUAGACAUGGGUGUGGCUCGUAACACCUGAUGACCAAACGGAUCUACGACACCAUCGAAUCUCAAACUUUAACUACCAAAACUAUUGUUUUUCAUUCUAUAGUCCCUUCUAGAAUUUCUAAACGUCCUUUUUUGGGCCGAGAUUUCCAGGAAUGCUUUCUCGGGGUUUGUGUGCAAGUAUUUCAAAUCAUACGGACCUAAAAAUUAGAAGUCAUUCCAUCUUUAUUCCCCUAGAGCCUUCCAGUAGUUCCUAAACCGCUCCAGUCGGAGCACGUUAUCAUUCUUGUUAGUUCAUAGUGAAUUCCCUCGGUAUGAUAAUUCUUUCAUCAGUUUGUUCCCCGUUUCUUCUCUAGCCUGAGCCUGGCACAGUAUUCUAGCUAGACAUGGGUGUGGUCGUAACACCUGAUGACUAAAUGGAUCGACGGCACCAUCGAAUCUCAAACUUUAACUGCCAAAACUAUUGUUUUUCAUCCUGUAAUCCCAUUUAGAAUUACUAAACGUCCUUUUUUGGGCCGAGAUUUAGAGGAACGCUUUGUUGGGGUUUGUGUGCAAGUAUUUCAAACCAUACGGACCUAAAAAUUAGAACUCAUUCCAUAUUUAUUCCCCUUGAGCCUUCCAGCAGUUCCUAAACCGCUCUAGUCGGAGCACGUUAUCAUUCUUGUUAGUUCUAAGAGAAUUCCCUCGGUAUGAUAAUUCUUUUAUCAGUUUGUUCCCCGUUUCUUCUCUAGACUGGGCCCGACACACUAUUCUAGCUAGACAUGGGUGUGGCUCGUAACACCUGAUGACCAAACGGAUCUACGGCACCAUCGAAUCUCAAACUUCAACUGCCAAAACUAUUGUUUUUCAUCCUGUAGUCCCUUUUAGAAUUACUAAACGUCCUUUUUUGGGCCGAGAUUUCCAGGAACGCUUUCUCGGGGUUUGUGUGCAAGUAUUUCAAACCAUACGGACCUAAAAAUUAGAAGUCAUUCCAUCUUUAUUCCCGUAGAGCCAUCCAGCAGUUCCUAAACCGCUCCAGUCGGAGCACGUUAUCAUUCUUGUUAGUUCUGAGUGAAUUCCCUCGGUAUGAUAAUUCUUUCAUCAGUUUGUUCCCCGUUUCUUCUCUAGCCUGAGCCUGACAAACUAUUAUAGCUAGACAUGGGUGUGGCUCGUAACACCUGAUGACCAAACGGAUCUAUGGCACCAUCGAAUCUCAAACUUUAACUGCCAAAACUAUUGUUUUUCAUCCUGUAGUCCCUUUUAGAAUUACUAAACGCCCUUCUUUGGGACGAGAUUUCCAGGAACGCUUUCUCGGGGUUUGUGUGAAAGUAAUUCAAACCAUACGGACCUAAAAAUUAGAAGUCAUUCCAUCUUUAUUCCCGUGGAGCCUUCCAGUAGUUCCUAAACCGCUCCAGUCGGAGCACGUUAUCAUUCUUGUUAGUUCUGAGUGAAUUCCCUCGGUAUGAUAAUUCUUUCAUCAGUUUGUUCCCUGUUUCUUCUCUAGCCUGAGCCUGGCACACUAUUCUAGCUAGACAUGGGUGUGGCUCGUAACACCUGAUGACUAAACUGAUCAAUGACACCAUCGAAUCUCAAACUUUAACUGCCAAAACUAUUGUUUUUCAUCCUGUAGUCCCAUUUAGAAUUACUAAACGUCCUUUUUUGGGCCGAGAUUUCCAGGAACGCUUACUCGGGGUUUGUGUGCAAGUAUUUCAAACCAUACUGACCUAAAAAUUAGAAGUCAAUCCAUCUUUAUUCCCCUAGAGCCUUCCAGCAGUUCCUAAACCGCUCCAGUCGGAGCACGUUAUCAUUCUUGUUAGUUCUGAGUGAAUUCCCUCGGUAUGAUAAUUCUUUCAUCAGUUUGUUCCUUGUUUCUUCUCUAGCCUGAACCUGACACACUAUUCUAGCUAGACAUGGGUGUGGCUCGUAACACCUGAUGACCAAACGGAUCUACGGCACCAUCGAAUCUCAAACUUUAACUGCCAAAACUAUUAUUUUUAAUCCUCUAGUCCCAUUUAGAAUUACUAAACGUCCUUUUUUGGGCCGAGAUUUAGAGGAACGCUUUCAUGCGGUUUGUGUGCAAGUAUUUCAAACCAUACGGACCUAAAAAUUAGAAGUCAUUCCAUCUUUAUUCCCCUAGAGCCUUCCAGCAGUUCCUAAACCGCUCCAGUCGGAGCAUGUUAUCAUUCUUGUUAGUUCUGAGUGAAUUCCCUCGGUAUGAUAAUUCUUUCAUCAGUUUGUGGCCCGUUUCUUCUCUAGCCUGAGCCUGACACACUAUUCUAGCUAGACGUGGGUGUGGCUCGUAACACCUGAUGACCAAACGGAUCUACGGCACCAUCGAAUCUCAAACUUUAAGUGCCAAAACUAUUAUUUUUAAUCCUGUAGUCCCAUUUAGAAUUAC
rnacentral:lncRNA from 1 species